CCUACGGGAGUCAGCAGUGGGGAAUAUUGGACAAUGGGCGAAAGCCUGAUCCAGCCAUGCCGCGUGUGUGAAGAAGGCCUUCGGGUUGUAAAGCACUUUCAGUGGGGAAGAAAGCCUUGGGGCUAAUACCCUCGAGGAAGGACAUCACCCACAGAAGAAGCACCGGCUAACUCCGUGCCAGCAGCCGCGGUAAUACGGAGGGUGCGAGCGUUAAUCGGAAUUACUGGGCGUAAAGCGCGCGUAGGCGGUCUGAUAAGCCGGUUGUGAAAGCCCCGGGCUCAACCUGGGAACGGCAUCCGGAACUGUCAGGCUAGAGUGCAGGAGAGGAAGGUAGAAUUCCCGGUGUAGCGGUGAAAUGCGUAGAGAUCGGGAGGAAUACCAGUGGCGAAGGCGGCCUUCUGGACUGACACUGACGCUGAGGUGCGAAAGCGUGGGUAGCAAACAGGAUUAGAUACCCCUGUAGU
rnacentral:rRNA from 1 species